ensembl:misc_RNA 7SK 7SK RNA
AAAUGUGAAGUGUUUGGACUAUGACAUUAGUCACCCCAUUUUCUAAAGGGUUGAUGGAGCUGAUCUGUCCUCUUUCUCCAUCACCACUCUGUGUGUAUCCUUCCAAAAUCACUGAGCUCUGUCAGUGACUCCAUCCCCCUAAAAAGGAAGACCAUGACUCAGCUAAGUGUAUAGAAGAAGCUACCCUUGCUUGCUAGAACCUUAGACAAGCUUUCAAGAUAACAGUUUUCUUUAUUUUGUAAAUGGGAAGGAUGACCUUGCAAAUCAAGGAAUAUUCUAAAUGACUGGGGGGCAACUU